CGUAGGGUCCGAGCGUUGUCCGGAAUUAUUGGGCGUAAAGGGCUCGUAGGCGGUUUGUCGCGUCGGGGAGUGAAAACACGGGGCUUAACCCCGUGCCUGCUUCCGAUACGGGCAGACUAGAGGUAUGCAGGGGAGAACGGAAUUCCUGGUGUAGCGGUGAAAUGCGCAGAUAUCAGGAGGAACACCGGUGGCGAAGGCAGUUCUCUGGGCAUUACCUGACGCUGAGGAGCGAAAGUGUGGGGAGCGAACAGGAUU
rnacentral:rRNA from 1 species